UUGCUUAUGGCCUAUUGGGUAUUAAUUGGAUGACAGCUGACUCGGUGAGGGAGAAAAUUUGGGUGUGGAAAGGAAUCAACAAUGUGAAGAAACAUGUUAGCUUCAUCCCCCUCAUUAUGUUUUGGGUGGCGUGGGAAGAAAGGAACAAGAGAGCUUUUGAGGGCAUGAAAGUUGAUUUUGGUAAGGUUAAAGAUAAGUGGCUGCAGACCCUAGGUUUUUUAAUUAAGGAUAAUCUUCUUUACUCCUUUGAGGAUCUUGGGGACCUUACGGACACUUUGAUAGAUAUAUAAAUAUUUCGUAUACGGGUUUGCACCCCCUUGGUGCUUGUGAAUGAAUCAUACUAUCAUAUUUUUAUCUAAGAAAAA
rnacentral:lncRNA from 1 species